CCUACGGGUGGCAGCAGUGAGGAAUAUUGGUCAAUGGACGAGAGUCUGAACCAGCCAAGUAGCGUGAAGGAUGACUGCCCUAUGGUUUGUAAACUUCUUUUAUAUGGGAAUAAAAUGUUCCACGUGUGGGAUUUUGUAUGUACCAUAUGAAUAAGGAUCGGCUAACUCCGUGCCAGCAGCCGCGGUAAUACGGAGGAUCCGAGCGUUAUCCGGAUUUAUUGGGUUUAAAGGGAGCGUAGGUGGAUUGUUAAGUCAGUUGUGAAAGUUUGCGGAUCAACCGUAAAAUUGCAGUUGAAACUGGCAGUCUUGAGUACAGGAGAGGUGGGCGGAAUUCGUGGUGUAGCGGUGAAAUGCUUAGAUAUCACGAAGAACUCCGAUUGCGAAGGCAGUUCACUGGACUGCAACUGACACUGAGGCUCGAAAGUGUGGGUAUCAAACAGGAUUAGAUACCCUAGUAGUC
rnacentral:rRNA from 1 species